UUUUUCUUUUCUUUUCUUUCUUCUGUCUGUCCCUCUCGGCUCUCUCUCGGCUCUCGCUUCUCUGCACCGCAGCAAGCACACACACGCACCCAUUGCACCGCAGCAAGGAAGACCCAUCACCUUCAUCACCUCGUCCUGCUCUCACUCUCUUUCUCCCUCUCGUUCCCGCGACCCCAGAAACCGAAAAAAGGGACUCCGGCGAGAUUUUUCAAUCUCCGGUUAGGUUAUAGGACGAAAUCGAAGCCGGGUGUAAGCACACCCAACUCCGGCGACCUCGGGGGUUAUUCCGGCCAUCUCCGGUCGUUCCACGACGAAAGGAAGGGGCAAUUAUUGGUGACGUUUUCUUGUUCGUUAGUUUGCGUGGCUCUUCGGCGGCUAAGUACUGACUUAGAAUCGAGGCGUACAAUCCCGGCAUCCAGGCACUUCCGCUUCAGUAUCUUCGAGUCCUCUCGGUGCUAAAAUACAAAUUAAUGGUUGCUUCCCACCCCCCACAGGAGGUGGGGUUGCUGAAGGCUUCCCAAAGAUGAAACAACAUGAAAAGUAUGCUAGGGUUGAGGUCCUUAGUCUUCAGAGAAAGGCUGCAGAGCUUCACGCAAAGAUAAUCAAGGUGAAGAUGUGGACGAACUACACACCCACACCCACACCACACCCACUCCAACAUACCCAAAAACAAUUGAUAACAAGAAUUUGGCUAGAUAGGCUUGGACCGUCAGAGUGGGAAGUCAGAAGCCCAACUUUAUGAAUCACGUGGAUUGGGGGUCUUUAAUGCCACCGUUGAAGUAUCAAGGAGAUACCAACUCUUAUGUUGGGCGUACUCGACAACAACGUGUGCAAAAGCCCUAUACUUCGUUGAGACCGGAGAACGUAUAUCAGUGGACAUUAAUAUCAUGAUCAAGAGUGCCAAGGACACCAUGUCACCAGAUGGCAUGAAUUUGCCUGUGAGUGGCUUCUUAGCAAUGACAAAGGGUGCCCUUUGUCAGCAGGGCUGGCCCCCCCAAGGGUAAGGAAGGCUUGUUUUUCUUAGGUGAAGUUAAGAAAUUGUUGGGCGAACAAGAGAUGAAACAGAAACUUGAUUUUGGCCCAAUUUGUGCCAUUAUGGAUUGGCAUCCAUGCAUGUUAUCGUAUGCGAAGGUAUUGCCUUGUUACUCUCACUUUUUUUUGAAUAUUAUGAGUGUAAAACUUUAGCUUGUAUAUGGGUAGGCUCUGACGAAAGUUUAGAGUUUUGGGUUUUUGUAUAUAUUCAAGGUUGGAUUUUCUAGGAAUUGGACGAUAAAAAAGGGCAAGGCUAUGAGAAUAGUUGAGCUAUAUUGUGUUGUGCCUUGUCUUUGGUUUAAGAGUGUUGGGUGAAUUUUGUGGGGGCUAGUUAAUAGAAAUGAUUGAAUAAAUGAGAGGUGAGAGAGGUGCGCGAGGUGAGAGAAGUGGUAAAGUGAGCUACAUACAUGUCUCUAGAGAUUUCAAAGUCGAGCAAAAAGGUCUUCAUUUUGAAGAUGGGGAUGCCAUUUGUCUUACACUGCGCUUGGUGUUGAAAUAAUUCUGAUAGAAUUCUCUCUUUUAAACAGUUUCAGGAGAACAUUGAACCCCCAAUGCCUUAUGGGAUUGAGUUAUACACUAAAUACGCGUGCGAGAAUGAAGGGAAGGCUGUGAUCAAGAGUUGUUAAUUUUGUGGCUAUGGAUACGGCUUGCAUCAGGUCUGCAUAGCCACAUCCAUAGCCACAAAAGUCACAACUCUUGAUCACAACCUUCCCUUCAUUCUCGCACGCGUAUUUAGUGCAUAAGGCAGUGGGGGUACAAUGGUCUCCUGAAAUUGUUUAAACGAGAGAAUUCUAUUAGAAUUAUUUCAACACCAAGCGCAUUGUAAGACAAAUGGCAUCCCCAUCUUCAAAAUGAAGACCUUUUGCUCGACUUUGAAAUCUCUAGAGACAUGUCUGUAGCUCACUUUACCACGUCUCUCACCUCUCAUUUAUUCACGCAUUUCUAUUACCUAGCCCCCACAAAAUUCACCCAACACUCUUAAAUCAAAGACAAGGCACAAUAUAGCUCAACUAUUCCUAAAGUCUUGCCCUUUUUUAUCGUCUAACUCCUAGAAAAUCCACAACCUUGAAUAUAUACAAAAACCCAAAUCUCUAAACUUUCAUUAGAGCCUACCCAUAUACAAGUUAAAGUUUUACACUAAUAAUAUUCAAAAAAGAGAGAGUAACAAGGCAAUACCUUCACAUACGAUAGCAUGCAUGGAUGCCAAUCCAUAAUGGGCCAAAAUCAAGUGCAUUUUUCAUCUCUUGUUCGCCCAACAAUUUCUUAACUUCUUCCUUACCUUGGAAACAAAACCAACUUAUUAUCAACAUCCAAAAUUUAAUAAUUUAUUUUACGAAGAAUAUGCAAAUAGAUUUACCUUGGGGGCCAGCCCUGCUGACAAAGGGCACCCUUUGCCAUUGCUAAGAAGCCACUCUCAGGAAAAUUCGUGCCAUCUGGUGACAUGGUGUCCUUGGAACUCUCGAUCAUGCUAGUAAUGUCCACUGAUAUGUGCUUUCCGGUCUCAAUGAAGCAUAGGGCCUUUGCACACGUUGUUGUCGAGUACGCCAAACCAUAAGUUGGUAUCUCCCUGAUACUUCAACGGUGGCAUUAAAGACCCCCAAUCCACAUGAUUCACAAAGUUGGGCUUCUGACUUCCCAUUCUGAUGGUCCAAGCUUACAACCCAGAAGAUCAAAUUCUUUUUUUUUUUUUCAAAUGGGGAAGGGAUUAAAGGAAAAGAAAAAUGAAUGCUAACGGUAACCUCCACUCCUCAAAUCUGAAAGAAGAAAAAACAAGAAUGUUGCUUUACCUUUCUAGCCAAAUUUUUGUUAUCAAUUGUUUUUGGGUGUGUAGUUCGUCCACAUCUUCACCUUGCUUAUCUUUGUGUGAAGCUCUACAGCCUAAAAAAGAGGUUGAAGACUGUCAGUAUGCCCUUAAUAUGGGUCCUGACAGAGUGUAAUUAUGAACAAAAUGAUCAUGCUGAAGGUAAUAAAAACCAGAAGGAAGGUGCAAACCUUUCUCUGAAGACUAA